rnacentral:rRNA from 1 species
GAUGAACGCUAGCGGCAGGCUUAACACAUGCAAGUCGAGGGGCAACACGGGUAGCAAUACCUGGUGGCGACCGGCGCAAGGGUGCGUAACGCGUGAGCAACAUGCCCUAUACAGGGGGAUAAUCCAGGGAAACUUGGUCUAAUAUCCCAUAGUAUUUAGAGGUGGCAUCACCACUAAAUUAAAGCUUCGGUGGUAUAGGAUUGGCUCGCGUGACAUUAGCUGGAUGGUGGGGUAACGGCUCACCAUGGCGAUGAUGUCUAGGGGUUCUGAGAGGAAGACCCCCCCACACUGGGACUGAGACACGGCCCAGACUCCUACGGGAGGCAGCAGUGAGGAAUAUUGGACAAUGGAUGGAAAAUCUGAUCCAGCCAAUGCCGCGUGCAGGAAGACGGCCCUAUGGGUUGUAAACUGCUUUUUAUAUGGGAGCAAUAAGGUUUACGCGUAGACCGAUGAGAGUACCAUAUGAAUAAGCAUCGGCUAACUCCGU